ACUCCGUGCCAGCAGCCGCGGUAAUACGUAGGGCGCAAGCGUUGUCCGGAAUUAUUGGGCGUAAAGAGCUCGUAGGCGGUCUGUCGCGUCUGGUGUGAAAUCCCAUGGCUCAACUGUGGGCUUGCAUCGGGUACGGGCAGACUAGAGUGCUGUAGGGGAGACUGGAAUUCCUGGUGUAGCGGUGGAAUGCGCAGAUAUCAGGAGGAACACCGAUGGCGAAGGCAGGUCUCUGGGCAGUUACUGACGCUGAGGAGCGAAAGCAUGGGGAGCGAACAGGAUUAGAUACCCUGGUAGUCCAUGCCGUAAACGUUGGGCACUAGGUGUGGGGCCAGUUCCACUGGUUCUGUCGAGUUGACGCCGUAGCUAACGCAUUAAGUGCCCCGCCUGGGGAGUACGGCCGCAAGGCUAAAACUCAAAGGAAUUGACGGGGGCCCGCACAAGCGGCGGAGCAUGCGGAUUAAUUCGAUGCAACGCGAAGAACCUUACCAAGGCUUGACAUGUACGAGAAAGCCCCAGAGAUGGGGUUCUCUUUGGACACUCGUACACAGGUGGUGCAUGGUUGUCGUCAGCUCGUGUCGUGAGAUGUUGGGUUAAGUCCCGCAACGAGCGCAACCCUUGUCUCAUGUUGCCAGCGGGUUAUGCCGGGGACUCAUGGGAGACUGCCGGGGUCAACUCGGAGGAAGGUGGGGAACAGAAUGACGUCAAAUCAUCAUGCCCCUUAUGUCUUGGGCUUCACGCAUGCUACAAUGGCCGGUACAGAGGGCUGCGAUACCGUGAGGUGGAGCGAAUCCCAAAAAGCCGGUCUCAGUUCGGAUCGGGGUCUGCAACUCGACCCCGUGAAGUCGGAGUCGCUAGUAAUCGCAGAUCAGCAACGCUGCGGUGAAUACGUUCCCGGGCCUUGUACACACCGCCCGUCAAGUCACGAAAGUUGGUAACACCCGAAGCUCACGGCCCAAC
rnacentral:rRNA from 1 species